GAUGAACGCUAGCUACAGGCUUAACACAUGCAAGUCGAGGGGAAACGACAUCGUAAGCUUGCUUUUGAUGGGCGUCGACCGGCGCACGGGUUAGUAACGCGUAUCCAACCUGCCCAUCACUUGGGGAUAACCUUGCGAAUGUAAGACUAAUACCCAAUGAUAUCUCUAGAAGACAUCUGAACGAGAUUAAAGAUUUAUCGGUGAUGGAUGGGGAUGCGUCUGAUUAGCUUGUUGGCGAGGUAACGGCCCACCAAGGCAACGAUCAGUAGGGGUUCUGAGAGGAAGGUCCACCAGAUUGGAGCCAAGACACAGACCAAACUGCUACGGGAGGGAGCAGUGAGGAAUAUUGGGCAAUGAGGGAGAGCCUGAACCAGCCAAGUGGCGUGCAGAAAGACGGCGCUAGGAGUUGUAAACUGCUUUUAUAAGGGAAUAAAGUGAGAGUAGUGACUCUUUUUGUAGGUACCAUAUGAAUAAGGACCGGCUAAUUCCGUG
rnacentral:rRNA from 1 species